CUCCUACUCCCUCCGUUCGGAAUUACUUGUCUCGGAAACGGAUGUAUUUAGACGUAUUUUAGUUCUAGAUACAUCCAUUUCCGAGACAAGUAAUUCCGAACGGAGGGAGUAAUAU
rnacentral:pre_miRNA from 1 species